rfam:Schistosoma rodhaini strain Burundi genome assembly, scaffold: SROB_scaffold0006490
AUCCAGCUGACGAGUCUCAAACAGGACGAAACGCCAAUCCUGGAU